GCUUAUCACCAUUCCAGAUUGAAUAUACCCGAUCUCGUCUGAUCUCGGAAGUCAAGCAAUCUCGGGCUUGGUUAAUACUUGGAUGGGUGACCGCUUGGGAAUAUCAAGUGUGAUAAGCA
rfam:Ciona savignyi cont_37777, whole genome shotgun sequence.